rnacentral:rRNA from 1 species
ACGAACGCUGGCGGCAUGCCUAACACCUGCCAGUCGAACGAGACCUUCGGGUCUAGUGGCGCACGGGUGCGUAACGCGUGGGAAUCUGCCCUUGGGUUCGGAAUAACUCGCCGAAAGGCGUGCUAAUACCGGAUGAUGACGUAAGUCCAAAGAUUUAUCGCCCAAGGAUGAGCCCGCGUUGGAUUAGCUAGUUGGUGAGGUAAAGGCUCACCAAGGCGACGAUCCAUAGCUGGUCUGAGAGGAUGAUCAGCCACACUGGGACUGAGACACGGCCCAGACUCCUACGGGAGGCAGCAGUGGGGAAUAUUGGACAAUGGGCGAAAGCCUGAUCCAGCAAUGCCGCGUGAGUGAUGAAGGCCUUAGGGUUGUAAAGCUCUUUUACCCGGGAUGAUAAUGACCGUACCGGGAGAAUAAGCUCCGGCUAACUCCGUG